rnacentral:rRNA from 1 species
UGGGGAAUAUUGGACAAUGGGCGAAAGCCUGAUCCAGCAAUGCCGCGUGUGUGACGAAGGCCUUAGGGUUGUAAAGCACUUUCACCCGCGAGGAUGAUGACGGUAGCGGGAGAAGAAGCCCCGGCUAACUCCGUGCCAGCAGCCGCGGUAAUACGGAGGGGGCGAGCGUUGUUCGGAAUUACUGGGCGUAAAGGGCGUGUAGGCGGCCUUGUCAGUCAGGCGUGAAAUCCCCGGGCUCAACCUGGGACGUGCGCUUGAUACUGCAGGGCUUGAGAGCGAGAGAGGUAAGCGGAAUUCCCAGUGUAGAGGUGAAAUUCGUAGAUAUUGGGAAGAACACCAGUGGCGAAGGCGGCUUACUGGCUCGUUUCUGACGCUGAGGCGCGAAAGCGUGGGGAGCGAACAGG